rnacentral:rRNA from 1 species
GUAGGUGGCAAGCGUUAUCCGGGAAUUAUUGGGGCGUAAAGCGCGCGCAGGCGGUUUCUUAAGUCUGAUGUGAAAGCCCACGGGCUCAACCGUGGAGGGUCAUUGGAAACUGGGGAACUUGAGUGCAGAAGAGAAAAGCGGAAUUCCACGUGUAGCGGUGAAAUGCGUAGAGAUGUGGAGGAACACCAGUGGCGAAGGCGGCUUUUUGGUCUGUAACUGACGCUGAGGCGCGAAAGCGUGGGGAGCAAACAGGAUUAGAUACCCUGGUAGUCCACGCCGUAAACGAUGAGUGCUAAGUGUUAGAGGGUUUCCGCCCUUUAGUGCUGCAGCUAACGCAUUAAGCACUCCGCCUGGGGAGUACGGUCGCAAAGACUG